rnacentral:lncRNA from 1 species
CCCACAUCGACCAGAAUAUUAAUUGAGGUGCUUGCCUGCUUGCUAUAAAUAAGAAGCUUAGGAUUCAUUUUUCUUUGCUCAUUUCUUUUCUUCUUCUCCCUAUACGUUGGUGUUCUAACCAAUAAUCACUCAAUCGCUAUUACGAUUCAUUUUCCGAGUGAUCAAUAUAUCCAAAGAAUGUCUAAGUGCCGCCCACAUUGGGUUAUACUUUGUCGUUUGUCGAUAAUUCGAUAAAUGAGUUGAAGUAUUAUACUUUGUUGUUUGUCGUUAAUUCGAUAAAUGAGUUGAAGUAUUAUACUUUGUCGUUUGUCGAUAAUUCGAUAUAUGAGUUGAAGUAUUAUACUUUGUCGUUUGUCGUCAAUUCGAUAAAUGAGUUGAAGUAUUGCACUUUGUCAUUCAUUGUGAGAAUUUGAUCUCGUGAGUUAUCGUAAAAGCUGUAUUGAUCAUUAACCCGGUUUUUGUGAAAUUCGUUAAGGUUCGAAUCUCAUGACUACCGUUAAGGUUUGAUUUGGGUUUUACACCAAUACGUAUUCCAUUCUGUUAAACUAUGUAUUUAACUACCAAGAAUACUCCCAACUACACCCUUACAAUCAAACAAACUAUUAAAUCAUCAGAAGAUCCAGAAUAAUAAAGUGCAUGCCUAAUUAUCAGAAGAAGUAGAAUCAGGAAGUUUGUUAACUCAAUCCUGCAUGCUGAUUUGUGAGUCAUUCUCUUUUUAUCAAAUAUUUUACAAUACUCCAAUUCAUUUUUCCGAGAUUAUAAUAACAGUGAUUAAGUUGAUGUAAUCACCAAAUUACAGCCAGUAUGUGGGGUAUUGUGCACAUUACUACAGUUUAAAUCAUUUUAGGUGGGCGAACCUAAUUUAAUUGAUUUACGUCAUUCAUUGGGGCAGCCAAUGGUGAUAUGACCACUGUCACAGAUCCGGUCGAGUGACAAAUACUGUGGGUAGUUGGUGGAUAUCAGAAACAUGCGUAAAAGAUCUUAGCACUGUGAAUAAUCAUAAAACGUGUCAUUUUCAGUAAAAUGAAUGAUUCACUCAGUAUUUCCCGCUGACAAAACCUUUUUAAAACGCGUUGCAGGUAAUUACAGUAGAUUGGAGUAAGGAUUGGAUCCGGCACUAAAAGACUUCAAGAAGUGGCUUAUUUUAUUAAUUAAAUCAAUUUAAGAAAUAUUGUUUCAUUAAAAGCUACCUUUGUAAAACAUGGAAUUUAUUCCAUCUUUUUAAAUAACAUCCGGUGUUUCUAAACUCUGAUAUUUUUCCUAACUCACGGUCCUGAUGAAAUUUCCGCUGCAAUGUUUUUCAAAAUAAUCACCGGUACCACUGGACUGCUCGCGGCACCGAUUCCGGCCAGGAUGGGGUCGGGGGUCGUGACAGAAGGUGGUAUCAGAGCUAAGCCACUGCUUUAAGCCUAUAAGUGUUGUGAUAACAAUACUUAAAUAAAAGAGUUAGGAGAUUGCUAUUAACUGGUAGCACAUCUGAUAGAAUUUAGACUUGAACAUAAGAAAAGAUGCCUUAGUAUAAACUAAGCCACUUGUUUAAGAGCAAGUAGGUGUUAUAAUAAUAAUACCUAAGUUUAAACGGAGAAUUAGAAACUUAAUAUUAUCUGAUAACAUUCUGAAUGAUAUUUAGACUUGAACUUAAGAAUUUUGCCUUAAAAUAAACUUUAAGGUAAAUUACUUAUAUAAGUAUAAUGUAAUGGAUACUAGUAUGUCAUAAGAGUGACGAUUAGCAGGAAAUAGUACUUAAUUGCUUCUUGCUUAUUGAUAUUAUUUGGUCUAGAAUAAGAUAUGUUAUGGAAUACAAAUUUCCUUGAUUCUGGAUAAAAGUCCUAAUAAAAGAGACACUUUAAAAUCUUGAAAAGAUACUAUUUAUGGGAAAUAGAAAAUUUUCUCCGGCAAAACUGGGUAUAGAGUAGCAGACUCUCCAGCUUGUCCGGAUAUACUGAGGUUACCACUCCGGCGCGAACCGGGUAAGAUGGGGUAUAUAAAAUGUCAAACAAGUGACAAGAUUUCCCUAAAAUAAGUAUCAUGGCCUGAUAUCAGACUUGUUUUUGAAAAUAAGAAUCUGUUAAAUACAUUAACCUUAUAAAGGGUAUAUAUGUUACAGCAUGUGAAAUAUAUGAUUAUAUAGAUAUGUAUAUCUAUAAGAAACUUCAAAAGCCAUAAACAAUUGAUAAUUAAGGAUAAAGCACAAGUAUAUGUGUCAAUAAUAAAUCUAGAUUCCUUUAUCAAAAAUCUCUUACCUAUAUCGAUAUCAAACAUUAUUUUGUUUAAUCAUCUACCUCGUAACUCGAGCGUCAACAUAAACAGUGGAAACUCUAUAAGUUGGAACACCAUCAAAAAUAUAAGAAUUACCAAUGCGUUACCAUAAAUUAUUAACGCCAUAAAUUAUGAACACAAGUAAGAACCAUCUAAAGUUGUGCUAAUGCACAAGAAAACACAUAAAACUUAAAUUAUACGUCCACAGACGUCAAAGUUUAUCACACACAAACUUCCAAGGCAAGACCUUUGAAAAAUAUAAAUUAGGCACGAUGACACCAAUCUUAAUUCCGUCGGUGAAAGUACUACUAAUCAAAAAGCGGUAUUUUGCCACAUGAUCUUACAACCGAUCAAAAUAUCGCUGAGGUACGUUGGAACAAUAUUUCACAACCAUCAAUGCACAGUCUAAUUAUAGUCAUAAUUAUUGGCACUACAAAAGAAGUCAUCUACCUUUGCAAAUCCCCUAUUUCAUUUCAUUUCAUUCGACAUUCCUUGGUAAUGUCACUUAACAAAGGUUAUCACACGAGAUUUUAGAUAAAGUUCUUAUAUUUCUUUCGUUGCAAUUCUGACUUCUGCCUAUAAAUAAGUUGACUUUCAUGUUUCUACUUCUUUUAAUGAUCAUCAUACCAUAAAGAUUUCUUUCAUAGUAGCAAAAUAUCGAUUCAUUUCAUUUCUUGGAAAAUCCACACGGUACACAUGCACUGUUUGUUGUACAUGUGGUUCAUUUGAGUUACGAAGACCAUAGGAAGGCUCCAUUCCAAUUUGUUGUUUUAUCAAAAGUUCAAACCAUUUCAUCUCAUUCGUUUGAACUUUUUGUUGAUACAUUUUGUGUGGACGCGACUCGGCUCGGUUCGACUCGGCUCGGUACGACUUGGUUUCGACUCGGUUAGGUCCGGCUCAAGCCCGACGUCACGACAUUCCUCCGUCGUGCGCCCCAGAGUUCGACACGCGAAGCACGGAGCACCACAAGCCAUGUCCCGUUUACACAUCACCAUGACAUCAUCAUUGUGAUGUCAUGGUGAUGUCAUAACCUUUGACUUAUUGAAAGUUGGCAACAGAAAGCACAUUUGGGCCAAUCAACGUCAUUUGGGUCGUAACAUCUGUAUUGGGCUUUGACUUCCUCUUGGGCUUCAGCAUGUUGACGAAACAGAAUGAUAUUAAUAUGUAUGUCGACGAGAUAAGAAUGUGUUUCGUCGACUUUGUGUGUUUCGCCAAGGCCUUUUGUGUUUCGUCAAAUGUCUAUGAGAGAUGAGCUGUGAGACUUUGAGAGAGAGUCUUUAAACAUUGUUUGUAUAUGUUUGUUCUCGGUUCUCAUCCCGUUUAAUCAAUAGAUUGUGUUUCAUUGGUUAAAUCGUGUUCUUAUUUUACACUUUGGUUGGUUUGCACCGUCACGGGGAUUCCGCACCCGUUACCGUGUUCUUGAUAAACAAGGAUAGGUUUACGUUAUCGAUCCACCGGAAAAACGGGACCUACAAUUGGUAUCAGAGCUUUGGCUCUUUUCCUUGUUUAAAACCAAACAUUGUUGGAUUUUUAUCAAGUUGUUUAUCUUAUUUUUCAGAAACUGUUAUUAUAUGAACUUUAUAUUUUCUGGAAAUUUUUAUUGAAAAGGUCAGUGAUUACAUUGUUAUUUUGCUAUAGUUUUGUUGAAAACCUUGUUUUAUUACAUAUGUGCAUGUUUUAGAGUUUGGUUUUUAUUAAAAGUAUAAGCAAAUUUGUGUUCCGAAAAGUUUGCCUGAAAUACAGAAAAUUUCUCAGGUGAAAUUUUGGCCGAAAUCUUCAAGGUGUUCUUCAUAUCUUCAAAGUGUUCAUAACUUCUUCAAAACUGCUCUUGAAGUUUGGCUGAAUUUGAUCUUAGUUUGUUAAAGUAUCGAGGUGUUUGUGACUAAAAUAAUAUUGUUUGACAAUUGUGUUCGAGUGUCAUGAUGGUCUUUUGAAAAACUUGGCUUUUGUUUGAAAAGGUAGUACUGCUCUCUGACACAAUUGGUGUUUGCUUGAAAAUUUUGGUUUUCCUUUGAAAAAUUUGGUCCUUCUCUGACACAAGAUAAGUUUAUAGAAAUAUAUAUUGUAUUGUUGUUCACCAAAUCACUAUGUCCAAGACACGGUCAAACAUUAUUGAAAUGGGCACAUUAUUUGAAAGUUGGCACAUUAUUUUUUUAAAAAAAAAAAAAAAAAUUCACCCACUAAUUUCGUCACUUGUUAUUCUUGGUCGAAAUCACCUCAUCCAGACAACUUAAAUAAGGUUUAUGUAUUAAAAAAAAAAAAAUCACGAGAAUCUUCAUAUGUGCAUGGAACUAUUUAAAGUGGACUUUGGGUAAAUAUCACCUAAAUUUGUGGGUUGGUAAUUUUGGUAGCUUGUGUA